rnacentral:rRNA from 1 species
UUAGGACAUGGGGAGGAACCUCCAUCCAGUUCAUGACCACGUUGCUGUGAAUGAAGGCCCUUAGUGGUUGUAAGAGCACUAUUAAGCGAGCGAGGACUGCUAACUAAGAUUAAGUACCCUAGUAGAAUAGUUGGAACGUUACGUCGACAAAACUAAGCCGACAGGGCAUAACCAUCUGUGUGCCCAGACAGCCCGGCGGAUAAAUACAUGAAGGGUUGACAAGGCGUUAUAAUCUCGGAAUUAUACGUGGGGCUCGUUUAAAGGCGUGCGGCGAUAGUGACGUGUCUUAANUAUAGAANUACGAAAGUGUUA